rnacentral:rRNA from 1 species
AGAGUUUGAUCAUGGCUCAGGAUGAACGCUAGCGGCAGGCUUAAUACAUGCAAGUCGAGGGGCAGCACGGGUAGCAAUACUUGGUGGCGACCGGCGCACGGGUGCGUAACACGUAUACAAUCUACCUAUAACAGGGGGAUAGCCUUUCGAAAGAGAGAUUAAUACCCCGUAACAAAUUGAAUGGCAUCAUUUGAUUUUGAAAGCUCCGGCGGUUAUAGAUGAGUAUGCGUCUGAUUAGCUAGUUGGUAGUGUAAUGGACUACCAAGGCGACGAUCAGUAGGGGAUCUGAGAGGACUACCCCCCACACUGGUACUGAGACACGGACCAGACUCCUACGGGAGGCAGCAGUAAGGAAUAUUGGUCAAUGGAGGCAACUCUGAACCAGCCAUGCCGCGUGCAGGAAGACGGCCCUAUGGGUUGUAAACUGCUUUUGUACCAGAGAAAACCCCGGUACGUGUACCGGGUUGAUAGUAUGGUAAGAAUAAGCAUCGGCUAACUUCGUG